rnacentral:rRNA from 1 species
GAUCUGAUGACGGUGCCAAGUGGGCCAAUUUUGGUAAGCAGAACUGGCGCUGUGGGAUGAACCAAACGUAGUGUUAAGGCGCCUAAAAAACGCUCAUGGGACACCAUGAAAGGCGUUGGUCGCUCAUGACAGCAGGACGGUGGCCAUGGAAGUCGGANUUCACCUGCCGAAGCAACCAGCCCUGAAAAUGGAUGGCGCUGAAGCGUUUUGCCUAUACACUACCGUUACCGGCACGUGUGAUGCUAAAUUUUUAAUUUGGUAUCAUUAAGCCGUAACGAGUAGGACGUGCGCGACGGAGAGCGCAGAAGGGUCUGGGCGUGAGCCCGCUUGGAGCCUCCGUCGGUGCAGAUCUUGGUGGUAGUAGCAAAUACUCCAGCGAGGCCUUGGAGGACUGACGUGGAGAAGGGUUUCGCGUGAACAGUAGUUGCUCGCGAGUCAGUCGAUCCUAAGCUCAAGGAGAGAUCUUAUGUCGAUGUGGCGUG